UGCAAAUAUACCUGGGUUUGCCUCCUCCGC
rnacentral:piRNA from 1 species